CGGAGCGUAGCGCAGCUCGGUAGCGCACCACGCUGGGGGUGUGGUGGUCGUGGGUUCGAAUCCCACCGCUCCGA
rfam:Candidatus Endolissoclinum faulkneri L2, complete genome.